UCAUAAGGACAAGGCGUGAUGAGGAGCGAAAUUAAAGUAGCGAAGGCUGCGACGUCACACUGCCGAGAAAAGCUUCUAGCCAGAGACGGUGCACCCGUACCGCAAACCGACACAGGUAGUCGAGGAGAGUAUCCUCAGGUGAGCGAGAGAACUCUCGUUAAGGAACUCGGCAAAAUGGCCCCGUAACUUCGGGAGAAGGGGCGCUGGUCGCAAGAUCAGCCGCAGUGAAAAGGCCCAAGCAACUGUUUAUCAAAAACACAGGCAUCUGCAAAAUCGUAAGAUGAAGUAUAGGUGCUGACACCUGCCCGGUGCUGGAAGGUUAAGAGGAGAGCUUAGCGCAAGCGAAGGUUUGAAUUGAAGCCCCAGUAAACGGCGGCCGUAACUAUAACGGUCCUAAGGUAGCGAAAUUCCUUGUCGGGUAAGUUCCGACCUGCACGAAAGGUGUAAUGAUUUGGGCACUGUCUCAACGAGAGACUCGGUGAAAUUAUAAUACCCGUG
rnacentral:rRNA from 1 species